UAGAGAAUGCCGGAAUGAGUAGCGAGAGGAAGGUGAGAAUCCUUCCGGCCGAAUAUCUAAGGUUUCCAGGGUAAAGCUGAUCUGCCCUGGGUAAGUCGGGACCUAAGGCGAGGUCGAAAGACGUAGUCGAUGGACAACAGGUUGAGAUUCCUGUACUGCUCUGUAACAGAACUGUGGGGACACGUGUGGAGAGUGUGAGCCGGAAAUGGAAAGUCCGGUGCAAGCGAGGUAGGAGAUAAGUUGGCAAAUCCGCUUAUCAAUCCGAAGACGUGACGCGUACCGAAAUCAAGUAGGGAAGCACAUGAGCCAUGCGUCGAGAAAAGCCGCUAUUGUUUGCAGAGUACCCGUACCGUAAACCGACACAGGUGGAUGAGGAGAGAAUCCUAAGGCCGACGGAAGAAGCAUUGUUAAGGAACUCGGCAAAAUGACCCCGUAACUUCGGGAGAAGGGGUGCCUGCGAGAGCAGGCCGCAGAGAAUAGGCUCAAGCAACUGUUUAGCAAAAACACAGGUCUAUGCGAAACCGAAAGGUGAGGUAUAUGGGCUGACGCCUGCCCGGUGCUGGAAGGUUAAGGGGAGAUGUUAGCGCAAGCGAAGCAUUGAACUUAAGCCCCAGUAAACGGCGGCCGUAACAAUAACGGUCCUAAGGUAGCGAAAUUCCUUGUCGGGUAAGUUCCGACCCGCACGAAAGGCGUAAUGAUUUGAGCACUGUCUCGACAAUGCAUCCGGUGAAAUUGAAGUACCAGUGAAGAUGCUGGUUACCCGCGCCAGGACGGAAAGACCCCAUGGAGCUUUACUCCAGCUUGGUACUGGGAUUCGGUAUUGCAUGUACAGGAUAGGUGGGAGGCUGAGAAAUGGUGACGCCAGUUGCCAUGGAGCCAAUGUUGGGAUACCACCCUUGCAGCAUUGGGUUUCUAACUAGUCACCGUGACCCGGUGAUAGGACAAUGCCAGGCGGGGAGUUUGACUGGGGCGGUCGCCUCCGAAAGGGUAUCGGAGGCGCUCAAAGGUUCCCUCAGAAUGGUUGGAAACCAUUCGAAGAGUGCAAAGGCAGAAGGGAGCUUGACUGUGACACCGACGGGUGGAGCAGGUACGAAAGUAGGACUUAGUGAUCCGGUGGUAUUAAGUGGGAAUGCCAUCGCUCAACGGAUAAAAGCUACCCCGGGAUAACAGGCUUAUCACUCCCAAGAGUUCACAUCGACGGAGUGGUUUGGCACCUCGAUGUCGGCUCAUCGCAUCCUGGGGCUGUAGUAGGUCCCAAGGGUUGGGCUGUUCGCCCAUUAAAGCGGUACGCGAGCUGGGUUCAGAACGUCGUGAGACAGUUCGGUCCCUAUCCGGCGUGGGCGUAGGAUAUUUGAGAGGAGCUGUCCUUAGUACGAGAGGACCGGGAUGGACUGACCUCUGGUGUAUCGGUUGAGCCGCCAGGCUCAUGGCCGAGUAGCCAAGUCGGGACGGGAUAAACGCUGAAGGCAUCUAAGCGUGAAGCCCCCCUCAAGAUGAGAUAUCCCAUUCGAAAGAAGUAAGACCCCUUGAAGACGACAAGGUAGAUAGGGCAGAGGUGGAAGUGUGGUAACACAUGGAGCUGACUGUUACUAAUAGGUCGAGGGCUUGACCG
rnacentral:rRNA from 1 species